AUCUCUUCUCGGCCUUUUGGCUAAGAUCAAGUGUAAUAAAUUGAGCUUUUUCUUCACAAGAUUCCAACUGAAUUUGUGAUGGAUUUUUCAGGAAACAAGGAAAUAGUUUUAGUAAUAAAACAUUAAACUUCUAAAGACAUUUUUUC
ensembl:snRNA U2 U2 spliceosomal RNA